GACGAACGCUGGCGGCGCGCCUAACACAUGCAAGUCGAGCGAUGAAAUUUUAACCGAUCUCUUCGGAGAGAAGAUAAAAUGGAUUAGCGGCGGACGGGUGAGUAACACGUGAGAAACCUGCCUUUCACAAGGGGAUAGCCUCGGGAAACCGGGAUUAAUACCCUAUGACACAUUUCCUUCGCAUGGAAGAAAUGUUAAAACUCCGGUGGUGAAAGAUGGUCUCGCGCCUGAUUAGCUAGUUGGUGGGGUAACGGCCCACCAAGGCCAUGAUCAGUAACCGGCCUGAGAGGGUGAACCGUCACAUUGGAACUGAGACACGGUCCAAACUCCUACGGGAGGCAGCAGUGGGGAAUAUUGCACAAUGGAGGAAACUCUGAUGCAGCGACGCCGCGUGAGCGAUGAAGGCUUUCGAGUCGUAAAGCUCUGUCCUAUGGGAAGAUAAUGACGGUACCAUAGGAGGAAGCCCCGGCUAACUACGUG
rnacentral:rRNA from 1 species